rnacentral:rRNA from 1 species
GAUGAACGCUGGCGGCGUGCCUAAUACAUGCAAGUCGAGCGAACGGACGAGAAUCUUGCUUCUCUGAUGUUUGCGGCGGACGUGUGAGUAACACGUGUAUAACCUACCUAUCAGACUUGGCUAACUUCGGGAAACCGUAGCUAAUACCGUAUAAUAUUUUGAACCGCAUUGUUCAUAAGUGAAAGACGUUCUUUCUUUCCCUUAUAGAUUUAUCCGCGCUGCAUUAGCUAGUUGGUAAGGUAACUUCUUACAAAGGCAACGAUGCAUAGACGACAUGAGAGGGUGAUCGGCCACACGGGAACUGAGACACGGACAAGACUACUACGGGAGGCAGCAGUAGGGAAUCUUCCGCAAUGGGCGAAAGCCUGACGGAGCAACGCCGAGUGAGUGAUGAAGGUCUUCGGAUCGUAAAACUCUGUUAGUAGGGAAGAACAUAUGUGUAAGUAACUGUGCACAUCUUGACGGUACCUAAUCAGAAAGCCACGGCUAACUACGUG